rnacentral:rRNA from 1 species
AUUGAACGCUGGCGGCAGGCCUAACACAUGCAAGUCGAACGAGUGGCGGACGGGUGAGUAAUGUCUGGGAAACUGCCCGAUGGAGGGGGAUAAAUACUGGAAACGGUAGCUAAUACCGCAUAUCAUCGGAUGUGCCCAGAUGGGAUUAGCUUGUUGGUGAGGUAACGGCUCACCUAGGCGACGAUCCCUAGCUGGUCUGAGAGGAUGACCAGCCACACUGGAACUGAGACACGGUCCAGACUCCUACGGGAGGCAGCAGUGGGGAAUAUUGCACAAUGGGCGCAAGCCUGAUACAGCCAUGCCGCGUGUAUGAAGAAGGCCUUCGGGUUGUAAAGUUCUUUCAGCGGGGAAGCGUUACCCGCACAAAAAGCACCGGCUAACUACGUGCCAGCAGCCGCGGUAAUUC